AGGUGGUUGGAUCAUUUGAGGUCAGGAGUUCGAGACCAGCCUGGCCAACAUGGCAAAACCGUGUCUCUACAAAAAAUACAAAACUUAGCCGGGCAUGGUGGCACAUGCCUCUAAUCCCAGCUACUCGGGCGGCUGAGGCACAAGAAUUGCUUGAACCCGGGAGGUGGAGUCAAGAUCGCACCACUGCACUUGAGCCUGGGAGCUGCAGCAAGACUGUCUCAAAAAAUAAAUAAAUAAAGUUAAGGUAGACAUUUCCAGAAUAUGGGAUAAGAGUACCUAGGAGAUAAAUAGUCAAAAUACUUUUUGUAGCUGUUGACACACUAAAAGUAUAUUUGUGGCUGUACCUGUUGUUAAGAGCGAGUCAUUCCAUGGAACUGGGCCGGACAUUUGUCCGGAGGCCCCUCCUGGGCAGGAGCCUCCUGAG
rnacentral:lncRNA from 1 species